UACGGCUCAGUAACACGUCGGUAAUCUGCCCUUAGGUCGGGGAUACCCUCGGGAAACUGAGGAUAAACCCCGAUAGGAGAUGACGCCUGGAAUGGUCCAUCUCUCAAACUCGCGCCUAAGGAUGAGCCGGCGGCUGAUUAGGCAGUUGGUGGGGUAAUGGCCCACCAAACCGAAGAUCAGUACGGGCCAUGAAAGUGGUAGCCCGGAGAGGGACACUGAGAUACUGGUCCCAGCCCUACGGGGUGCAGCAGUUGCGAAAACUUUACAAUGCACGCAAGUGUGAUAAGGGGAUCCCAAGUGCUCAUGUUUUACAUGGGCUUUUGCCAAGGGCAGGAACCUUGGCGAAUAAGUGGUGGGUAAGACUGGUGCCAGCCGCCGCGGUAACCCCAGCGCCACAAGUGGCAAUCGCGAUUAUUGGGUCUAAAGCGUCCGUAGCCGGUUCGGUAAAUCUCUUGUGAAAUCGUCGGACUCAACCUGACGAAUGGCAGGGGACACUGCCGAGCUUGAGACCGGAAGGAGUGUGAAGUAUGGUGUGGGGAACGGUAAAAUGUGAUAAUCCACACUAGACUACCAAUGGCGAAGGCAUCACACCAGGACGGAUCUGACGGUGAGGGACGAAAGCUAGGGGAGCGAACCGGAUUAGAUACCCGAGUAGUCCUAGCUGUAAACGCUGUGAGCAAGGUGUUGCAUAUUCCUCGGGAAUAUGCAGUGUCGAAACGAAGGUGUUAAGCUCACCACCUGGGAAGUACGGUCGCAAGACUGAAACUUUAAGGAAUUGGCGGGGAAGCACCACAAGGGGUGCGGCGUGCGGUUUAAUCUAACUCAACACAGAACACCUUACUAGGAGCGACGGCAGGAUGAAGGUCAGUCUGAAGGGCUUACCCAACGAGCCGAGAGGUGGUGCAUGGCCGUCGCCAGCUCGUGCUGUAAAGUGUCCUUUUAAGUAAGGUAACGAGCGAGACCCCCCCA
rnacentral:rRNA from 1 species